UAGGGAAUCUUCCACAAUGGACGCAAGUCUGAUGGAGCAACGCCGCGUGAGUGAAGAAGGUCUUCGGAUCGUAAAGCUCUGUUGUUGGUGAAGAAGGAUAGAGGUAGUAACUGGUCUUUAUUUGACGGUAAUCAACCAGAAAGUCACGGCUAACUACGUGCCAGCAGCCGCGGUAAUACGUAGGUGGCAAGCGUUGUCCGGAUUUAUUGGGCGUAAAGCGAGCGCAGGCGGAAUGAUAAGUCUGAUGUGAAAGCCCACGGCUCAACCGUGGAACUGCAUCGGAAACUGUCAUUCUUGAGUGCAGAAGAGGAGAGUGGAACUCCAUGUGUAGCGGUGGAAUGCGUAGAUAUAUGGAAGAACACCAGUGGCGAAGGCGGCUCUCUGGUCUGCAACUGACGCUGAGGCUCGAAAGCAUGGGUAGCGAACAGGAUUAGAUACCCUGGUAGUCCAUGCCGUAAACGAUGAGCGCUAGGUGUUGGGGACUUUCCGGU
rnacentral:rRNA from 1 species